rnacentral:SRP_RNA from 1 species
GAAGGUCCCCCGCGUGGCGGCACCCUCGCCCAACUCCCCCAGGGCCGGAAGGCAGCAAGGGUAAGUGAGCUCUACCGGGUGCGCGGGGGGCCCCUUUU